AGCGCCAACUUGGGUGAAAGUGGUUGUAAGUACUUAUUUGUUUAGAUUAAAAUAUAUUGCUUCACCACUUAAUUUAUGACAAAAUUAGAAAAUGGAUGGUUAUUAAUAUGAUCAUCAAUAAGAUGCUAAAGAAGUAAGAACAUCAUUCUAGUGUUUAUUGCAAUUGUUGAUACUUUUCCCAUAGUGCCCAAGACAACCAGGUAGUGUGGAAUGUGGGUAUUACGUGAUGAGAUAUAUGAAGGAAAUCAUUGCUAAUCCAAACCAACUAACAUCAAAGUUUUGCGGGAAGAAAUCAUAUAGUGAAAUGGAAAUUAAUGAAGUUCGAUCAUAUUGGGUUAUGUUAGUGACUCAGUUAAUCAUUACUCAUGUUUGAAGUUGGCAGUGUUUUCAAUAUGGAUCAUUUUGGGGGUUGCUCUAUUAUGAUUGAUGUAUAGUUGGCAUAUUGAGAGGUGAAGCCAAGUAGACAUGGUUGUACAAAAAGGCAUAGGUCAUUCUAUUAACAACGUCACUACUGCUCUUGAUGAAGGACACCCACAAACAAUUCAAAAUAUAUCAUCAAAAGAAUUUUGAGAUUGAGCAUCUAGAAAGUGAGUUACAACCAUCCUUUUGCACUUGGAA